AAUCGGAGUGUACUUGUGCAUAUUGUUACUAAACUUAUCCAAGUGGGAGACUGUUGGAAUAGUGUCUAAGGCUGCAACUAUAUUAAGCAAGUAUUUGACCCGAUUGUUCAUGGUCCUUUUGGGUUGCCUGCACCAUAGCCACUUGACAGGAUGAUUUAUUAUGAGAGAAUAGAUAUUAUUAAUAUAUUAUGAGAAUAAUAUAACGAAUAAUAAUAUUGUUAUUUGAUUAAUAUAAGUCAAAGAUUAAUUAGUAUUAAUUUGGUGACUUAAAGAGAUUAAUUAAAUAAGAGGGUAUAAACUGUCAAUUAUUUUAUAGUUACACUUUAUAAAGGAUGGACGAAUUCUAGGGCUUAGGAUAGCCACAAAUUCAUCAAAGGCUUAUCUUUGGUAAGGAUUAGGAUUGCUUUGAGUAAAGAUUAUCCAACUAGGGUUUAAGGGUGGAACCCUAGGAGCCUUACAAGUAUAAAUAGACCCCUAGGGCAAGGGAGAUCGACACCUCUGCUAAAGCAAAGAAACCCUGGUCGAUUUCCUCCCUCCCCUCUCUCUCAAAUCAUCCUCUUGCUAGUUGGUGUUUGUAAGCCAUUAGAGGAGUGACAAUUGUGACUCUAGAGAUCCAAGACAACAAGAUCAAACAAGAGAUUCAAAGGUAAACUUCUAGAUCUGAUUUUGUAUUGUUCUUAUAUCUAAUUAGUCAUUAGAAGUCUUGGAUUCAAAGCAUGUUUAAUUAGAGAAACCUAGAUCCAAGCAUUAGAGUUUGCGUGUGCACAUAGGAAUGUUCAUAUGGCCAAAACCCAUCAGUUUCAACCGGAUACCAGGUCUAUUUCACCCCUACUACUACCCUAUAAUAUCAUAACAGGAACAACAAAGUCAUCAAACGAAUACAUGCAUAACUGACAAUUAUCACAAAGACAGUCAUCACACUACAUCGUAAACUAGUGGGCCGACAUUGCUGCCUUCGACCAACAGAUAUAAUGAAGCAAAACUCACCUCAGACUGAAGGUAUCAAAUCGAACUCGGCAGAUGACUAGCGAAAUCCUCUCCCUAAUGCCCAAGCAUAAAACCGUAAUUAGAAAUUAGGCAACAUUUUAACCCGAAGGUCCAAACCCUAAUUCUUGACUUAAGGCAAAAAGGGUGUAACAUCCAAAAAUUUCAUGAAAAUUUUAACUUUUUAAACAAUCGAAAUCAUCACUUGUUUGCAAAUUUUUUUUCCAAAACAUGUCUAUUAUCAUAGCUUUCCCAAAAUCAUAAACAAAAAAUGAGGAGGUGCAAGAUCAAGUCUUCGCCUUCCCGCGAUCAUCUAUGGUACCUGAAACAUAACCCAAAACUGUAAGCCUAAAGCUUAGUGACUUUCCCCGAANUCCCUCUCCUCUCUCUCAAAUCAUCCUCCUUGCUAGUUGGUGUUUGUAAGCCAUUAGAGGAGUGACAAUUGUGACUCUAGAGAUCCAAGACAACAAGAUCAAACAAGAGAUUCAAAGGUAAACUUCUAGAUCUGAUUUUGUAUUGUU
rnacentral:lncRNA from 1 species